rnacentral:rRNA from 1 species
AGAGUUUGAUCCUGGCUCAGAUUGAACGCUGGCGGCAUGCCUUACACAUGCAAGUCGAACGGCAGCACGGGUGCUUGCACCUGGUGGCGAGUGGCGAACGGGUGAGUAGUGCAUCGGAACGUACCCAGUAGUGGGGGAUAACUACCCGAAAGGGUGGCUAAUACCGCAUAUACUGUGCGCAGGAAAGCAGGGGACCGUAAGGCCUUGUGCUACUGGAGCGGCCGAUGUCAGAUUAGCUAGUUGGUGGGGUAAAGGCCUACCAAGGCGACGAUCUGUAGCGGGUCUGAGAGGAUGAUCCGCCACACUGGGACUGAGACACGGCCCAGACUCCUACGGGAGGCAGCAGUGGGGAAUUUUGGACAAUGGGGGCAACCCUGAUCCAGCCAUGCCGCGUGAGUGAAGAAGGCCUUCGGGUUGUAAAGCUCUUUCGGACGGAAAGAAAACGGAUGGGUUAAUACCCUGUUCGGAUGACGGUACCGUCAUAAGAAGCACCGGCUAACUACGUGCCAGCAGCCGCGGUAAUACGUAGGGUGCGAGCGUUAAUCGGAAUUACUGGGCGUAAAGCGUGCGCAGGCGGUUGAUUAAGACAGGCGUGAAAUCCCCGGGCUUAACCUGGGAACUGCGCUUGUGACUGGUCGGCUAGAGUACGGCAGAGGGGGGUGGAAUUCCACGUGUAGCAGUGAAAUGCGUAGAGAUGUGGAGGAACACCGAUGGCGAAGGCAGCCCCCUGGGCCGAUACUGACGCUCAUGCACGAAAGCGUGGGUAGCAAACAGGAUUAGAUACCCUGGUAGUCCACGCCCUAAACGAUGUCAACUAGUUGUUGGGAGGGUAAAAC